rnacentral:rRNA from 1 species
ACAGGUGGUGCGUGGUUGUCGUCAGCUCUUGUGUCGAGAUGUUGGGUUAAGUCCCCCACCAAGAGCACCCCUUGCUUUUAGUUGCCCACAUUAAGUUGGGCACUCUAAAGAGACUGCCAGGGAUAACCUGGAGGAAGGUGGGGAUGACGUCAAAUCAUCAUGCCCCUUAUGCUUAGGGCUACACACGUGCUACAAUGGGUGGUACAAAGGGCUGCCAAGUCGCGAGGCGGAGCUAAUCCCUUAAAACCAUUCUUAGUUCGGAUUGUAGGCUGAAACUCGCCUACAUGAAGUUGGAAUCGCUAGUAAUCGCGAAUCAGAAUGCCGCGGUGAAUACGUUCCCGGGUCUUG